GGUUGCGGCCAUAUCUACCAGAAAGCACCGUUUCCCGUCCGAUCAACUGUAGUUAAGCUGGUAAGAGCCUGACCGAGUAGUGUAGUGGGUGACCACUACACUACUCGGUCAGGCUCUUACCA
rnacentral:rRNA from 1 species